rnacentral:rRNA from 1 species
CCCGGUAACCAUACUGAGGAGGAAACACCCGUUCCCAUUUCGAAUACGGUCGUUAAGCUCCUCAAGGCCGAUGGUACUGUGCUGGCAACGGCACGGGAGAGUAGGUAGUUACCGGGU